rnacentral:lncRNA from 1 species
AAGAAGUCAGGCCCCAAAGCCACGGUUUGAGCAAACCGUGCUGCCUGUAGCUCCGUCGUGGGGACGUAAAACCUGGGAGGCUGCAAACUGUGGAAGCUGUACGCACGGUGUAGCAGACUAGCGGUUAGAGGAGACCCCUCCCAUGACACAACGCAGCAGCGGGGCCCGAGCACUGAGGAAAGCUGUACCUCCUUGCAAAGGACUAGAGGUUWSMGG